AUACUUAUCGAAUGCACUGUAGGUUUUUACCAAAUACUUUUUGGCUGAAGCCAACAGUGAUGACACAUAACUUUAAACAAAUAAUCAUAAAUAUUCGUAUAGCGUUUUCAAUACAAGUAACAAAGUGCUUUACAUCAUAAAAUAUUUAAAUAAAAAAUACUAACAAAGACCGGAUGAAGGAGAAUUUUAAAUAAUACAUUAAAAGCAUCUUUGUGUGUCUUUAGCAGGGUUUUAAGAGGCACUGAAUCUACAAGUCUGAUCUCCUCCAGCAGAUCAUUCCAAAGUCUAAGGGUCCUAAUGGCAAAUGCCCGGUCUCCUUUAGUUUUCAAUCAGGACUUUGGAAUGAUCUACAGAGCCCUGUCAGAGGAUCUCAGGCUGCGUCCUGGCUCGUAGGGAUAUGCAAGAUCAGAGAUAUAGGACGAUUUAAUAUUUAAUAAAACAUUUAAAUCUAUUCUCAAAGAGACUGGUAGCCAGUGUAGAGAAGCUAAAGUAAGUGUGAUAUGGGUACAUUUUAUUUGUUAAAAGCUGAGCUGCACCAUUUUGAACUAACUAGACCAGGGUUGUCAAACUAAUUUUGCCCCGUGGGCUGCAUUCUGUUGUUAAGGAGGUCCGCGCUGUAAGGUUGGGCAUCAAGUGUCUUAUUGAUGCUGACUUAAAAUUGCAGAUAGUUUGUAGCCUUGCACAGUUUAAGCGCCAGCUUAUUCUUUUUAUUGUCCUGUGGUGAAAUGUUUACAGCAGUCCUGAUAACAGCUGAAAACUACCUCGGGAGGUAGAAGGGCCGGCAUUUGACCAUAAGGUAUUCCAAGACGGGUGAACAGUGGGUUGACACUUCCAUCGUGUUGGAAUUACCACACCAGUUGGAGUUGAUGAGGAGGCAAACGCCUCCCUCCCCCUCGAUUUCCCAGACUCCAAUGUCCAGUGCGGCCAAUGAGAAUUGAGAAUCCGAGUUGAAUAGCCGUGGGGGGUAUCUUGUCUGAGAGCCAUGUUUCUGAAAAGCAAAGAAUAUCGCAAUUCCGAGAGUCUCAUUGGUAGCAAAUAAAUUUUAUUAUCAAGUACUUGUGCCAGUAGAAUGGAGGGUUUCCCUUUGACUUAAUCUCACCAAGAACCCCCCCUCUCUUGCCUCUGUAACGCCAGCGUUUCCUCUUCGGUAGCCUGAAAUUGGGUUGGAAUUACAGAGAGAGCCCAGGGUAGAUUAGCUGAUGUAGAAGCCAGAAUAGGGGUAAGUAACUAAAGAUUUCAUGUUCAAUAGUUCUUGUUGGUUGUAAGAAAUAAUAGAGGAUAGAUUACGUGUAAGUAGACUAAAAAUAAACAAGAUUUUUUACAAAAUAGCGAAGUUGGGCUAGAGCUUGCAAAUCGGUGGCCUUUCAAUACGGCGCUAAAAUAGGCUGGAAAGGACCCAGAGGUCAGGAAGCUAUCUACAAUAAACAGAAUGUUGGGGCCAACAGUAGGCAUAACCUCUUUUAGUAGUCUAGUAGGGCUCACCCACAUGGAGUUGCCGUACGUGCUUCCUGACCAGAAAUGCUGGUAUGGUGUCAGCUACUGUCAAUCAGAGUUCUAAUAUUUUCUAUCUUUUCUGUAAAGAAUCAUAUUUUUUUUUGCAGAGAUCAGGUAAUGCGAGCAUGUCACUGUUAAGGCAGCCGCAUGCUUCCCACCCGAAACAGUUCGGUACAGUUUGUGCAUAUUAUUAAUGUUUUGGAUUAUGGUUCGGGUUUUGUCGGCUAUUUGGGUGCACAUUUUUUUCUCUACACCUCUGUCUGUGAUUGGUCAACUGCAGGGGUGCUUCUUGUCGAUUCAGCCCGAAACUCCGUGUGGAUUCAGCAUGGUGAAUGACAACGUCAUGCAUCGAUUGACUGAUACGAUUCCAGCCAUGCAUUAUAUAAACACUACCAUGUAAAUGCCAAUUCAUGGAGGGAGAUUGCGGAGACGCUGGAGUCCGACCCGACCACUUGUUUAAAAAAAAAAGUGUUUGUAACCAGUUCAAGGCAAAGAAAAGAAACAAGGGCCGCAGUGGAGAUGCUGGUGGAAAGGCUUCUCCAGGAAUGUUGCUGGCUUUUACGGCAGGUGAAGCAACAUGUCAUCUUCACCAAAGGAUGGGGAACAAACACCAGUGAAUGGAGACUGCACCUGGUUUUGUUCUCUGCACCCCAGCACUUCCUGUUCACUGGCCCCAAGCACGACCUCUGUCCCCAGUACUAACUGGUGACCGGCCCCCAGCCCAUCUCCCGCACUGAGUUGCAGUGCCGGAUUAGGAACAAUCUCCAUGCAGGACUUGGGCAACUCUAUCCUGGGCCCACCUCCGAGAACUACUCCACGACGCCACAGAGCAGCAGCAGCAGGGGUGUGAGAAGAAAAGGGCUGCAGACUCCGUCUGGACAUCAAGAUCUAGACAACAUCAUGCACCAAGCCCCCAGCUUGUCCCAGAGGUUUAAUUUUACCUUUAUUUAACCAGGCAAGUCAGUUAAGAACAAAUUCUUAUUUUCAAUGACGGCCUAGGAACAGUGGGUUAACUGCCUGUUCGGUGGCAGAACGACAGAUUUGUACCUUGUCAGCUCGGGGGUUUGAACUUCCGGUUACUAGUCCAACGCUCUAACCACUAGGCUACCCUGCCGCCCCAGGGUCCUGGCACCUAUGGAUGAACUCUCGCCAAAACUCUGGGAGGAAUUCGAUCACCAGCUGCUUGAGUUCGCAUGAUGAAUAUGUACCACAAUGACUGGGACCACAUUGAAAUGAACAACUUGUUCUGUUCAGAUAUCUCAGAAGUCAGACACUAGACACUUUAAUUUUAUUCCAUACACACUUUUGUUGUUUACAUGUCUGUUUUACUAUUGUUCUGAAAUAUUUAUAUCUACACUCUUGACACUAUUUGACCCUUUUGUUGUUUACAUGUCUGUUCAUAGCAGACACUGUUGAACUAUUGUUCAGAAAUAUUUAUAUCUACACUUUGACACAUUUUAUUCCAUAGACACUUGUUUUACAUGUCUGUUCUCAGCAGACACUUUAGUAUUGUGGUAUAUUUUCAGAAGCAAGAAUAAAGGUUUAUUUGUGUGCUGAAAAAGCACUGACAUUUCUUCA